GACGAACCGAGCGAACGUUGUUCGGAAUAACUGGGCUUAAAGGGUGCGUAGGCGGCGGGGCAAGUCUGAUGUGAAAUCCCGGGGCUCAACCCCGGAACUGCAUUGGAUACUGCCUUGCUUGAGUACUGGAGAGGGAACUGGAAUUUACGGUGUAGCAGUGAAAUGCGUAGAGAUCGUAAGGAAGGCCAGUGGCGAAGGCGAGUUCCUGGACAGUUACUGACGCUGAGGCACGAAGGCCAGGGGAGCAAACGGG
rnacentral:rRNA from 1 species